rnacentral:rRNA from 1 species
AACGCGCAAGGCUCAUUACAACAGCUAAAAUGUAUACGGUGAGAUACCAUUAAAUGGAUAUCUGCGGUAAAUCUGGAGCUAAUACAUGCAAAAAAGAUUGUAUAAGUUACUGUCUGUAUGAUUGCAGUUAUUAGAUUAAAACCAAUGGGCUCUGCCCAUAUAAGUUAACUCUAGAUAAUGCGUUACCAUACAGAUUAAUUUCUGAUGGAAUGCCGUAUUUGUAUCUGCCCUAUCAACUAUAUAACCGUGUAUUGAACGGUUAUGGUGUUGCCGGGUAACGGAGAAUUAGGGUUCGUCUCCGGAGAGAAUGCCUUAAAAACGGCUUUCACAUCCAAGGAAGGCAGCAGGCGCGAAAAUUACCCACUCUCAGUGCGAGGAGGUAGUGACGUGAAAUGACAAGUUCCAUUCUUUAUAGGAUGGAACAUUGGAAUGGUUUAAUUUUAAAUCCAUUGAAGAUUAUCAAUGAGAGGGCAAGUCUGGUGCCAGCAGCCGCGGUAAUUCCAGCUCUCAUACUGCAUUGAAUUGCUGUUGCGGUUAAAAAGUUCGUAGUUGCAAGUGUACGGAGUGAGAUGGUUUAACUUUAUGGUUAUUACUAUUCCUACCGUUAAGAGUUAAUAUGGUUAAUACCCAUAUAACUCAGUUACUUUGAGUAAAUCAGAGUGCUUAAAACAAGCGUAUUGCUUGAAUGGUUGUGCAUGAAAUAACAAUACAAUGCAUUGAUAUUUGUUUUGUGGGUUUUAAUGUCAAUGAAUGAUUAAAGGGAACAAACGGGGGCAAAAGUAUCAUAAGGCGAGAGGUGAAAUUCGUGCACCCUUGUGAGACUGCCUAAAGCAAAAGNUUUNCCCAAAAAUGGA